rnacentral:misc_RNA from 1 species
GCCCACACACGCUCGGUUGCCUAAUUGCAAAGAUGCGGACAUUGGCCCUCCGAACUGUGAGGUGCGGUGGGCCUAAGUGUGCGGCCGUCGUAUGUGGCCGGGAGCGGCGAGUGGUGGGCUAUACUGCGCACGUCGCCCCGAGCCCUGUACUGACACAGGCCAUUUUUGACCCCUUACGAGGAGCUUGCCGUCGCGGCUGGUGCUGCGCGGUGCCUCCGGACC